CGUACCCUAAACCGACACAGGUGGACUGGUAGAGUAUACCAAGGCGCUUGAGAGAACCACGUUAAAGGAACUCGGCAAAAUGCCUCCGUAAGUUCGCGAGAAGGAGGCCCCAUAUGUGCGCAAGCAUGUGUGGGGGGCACAAACUAGGGGGUGGCGACUGUUUACUUAAAACACAGGGCUGUGCGAAGCCGUAAGGCGACGUAUACAGUCUGACGCCUGCCCGGUGCUGAAAGGUUAAAAGGAGGGGUGCAAGCUCUGAAUUGAAGCCCCAGUAAACGGCGGCCGUAACAAUAACGGUCCUAAGGUAGCGAAAUUCCUUGUCGGGUAAGUUCCGACCUGCACGAAUGGCGUAACGAUCUCCCCGCUGUCUCUAACGUGGACUCAGCGAAAUUGAACUGUGUGUCAAGAUGCACACUACCCGCGGUUAGACGGAAAGACCCCAUGCACCUUUACUCCAGCUUUGCACUGGUAUCAGGAUUGUGAUGUGCAGGAUAGGUGGUAGGCAUCGAAGCGGGACGCCAGUUCUCGUGGAGCCUCCCUUGAGAUACCACCCUUCGCCAUCUUGAUAUCUAACCGCGGCCCGUUAUCCGGGUCCGGGACCCUGCAUGGUGGGGAGUUUGACUGGGGCGGUCGCCUCCCAAACAGUAACGGAGGCGCGCGAAGGUAGGCUCAGACCGGUCGGAAAUCGGUCGUUGAGUGCAAUGGCAGAAGCCUGCCUGACUGCAAGUCUACAAGACGAGCAGAGACGAAAGUCGGUCAUAGUGAUCCGGUGGUCCCAAGUGGGAGGGCCAUCGCUCAACGGAUAAAAGGUACGCUGGGGAUAACAGGCUGAUGAUGCCCAAGAGUCCAUAUCGACGGCAUCGUUUGGCACCUCGAUGUCGGCUCAUCCCAUCCUGGGGCUGGAGCAGGUCCCAAGGGUAUGGCUGUUCGCCAUUUAAAGAGGUACGUGAGCUGGGUUUAGAACGUCGUGAGACAGUUCGGUCCCUAUCUGCCGUGGGUGUAGGAGACUUGAGAAGAGUUGCCCCUAGUACGAGAGGACCGGGGUGAACGAACCACUGGUGGACCAGUUGUCGUGCCAACGGCAGUGCUGGGUAGCUAUGUUCGGACAGGAUAACCGCUGAAGGCAUCUAAGCGGGAAGCCCCCUUCAAAACAAGGUCUCCCUUGAGAGCCGUGGAAGACCACCACGUCGAUAGGCCGGAGGUGUAAGUGCAGCAAUGCAUUCAGCUGACCGGUACUAAUUGCU
rnacentral:rRNA from 1 species